GUAGGUGGCAAGCGUUGUCCGGAUUUAUUGGGUUUAAAGGGUGCGUAGGCGGUCCUAUAAGUCAGUUGUGAAAUACGGCAGCUUAACUGUCGAGGUGCAAUUGAUACUGCAGGACUUGAGUACAGACGAGGUAGGCGGAAUUGACGGUGUAGCGGUGAAAUGCUUAGAUAUCGUCAAGAACACCGAUAGCGAAGGCAGCUUACUAGACUGUAACUGACGCUGAUGCACGAAAGUGUGGGGAUCAAACAGGAUUAGAUACCCUGGUAGUCCACACUGUAAACGAUGAUUACUCGAUGUUGGCGAUACACAGCCAGCGUCUUAGCAAAAGCGAUAAGUAAUCCACCUGGGGAGUACGCCGGCAACGGUG
rnacentral:rRNA from 1 species